CUAGCAUAUCAAUAAGCGGAGGAAAAGAAACUAACAAGGAUUCCCCUAGUAACUGCGAGUGAAGCGGGAAAAGCUCAAAUUUAAAAUCUGGUGGUCUUUGGCCGUCCGAGUUGUAAUCUAGAGAAGUGUUAUCCGCGUUGGACCGUGUACAAGUCUCCUGGAAUGGAGCGUCAUAGAGGGUGAGAAUCCCGUCUUUGACACGGACUACCAGUGCUUUGUGAUGCGCUCUCAAAGAGUCGAGUUGUUUGGGAAUGCAGCUCAAAAUGGGUGGUAAAUUCCAUCUAAAGCUAAAUAUUGGCGAGAGACCGAUAGCGAACAAGUACCGUGAGGGAAAGAUGAAAAGAACUUUGGAAAGAGAGUUAAACAGUACGUGAAAUUGCUGAAAGGGAAACGCUUGAAGUCAGUCGCGUUGUCCGGGGAUCAACCUUGCUUUUGCUGGGUGUACUUUCCGGUUGACGGGUCAGCAUCAAUUUUGACCGUUGGAUAAAGUGUAGAGAAAUGUGGCAUCUUCGGGUGUGUUAUAGUCUUUGCUCGCAUACAACGGUUGGGAUUGAGGAACUCAGUACGCCGCAAGGCCGGGAAUUUAUUCCACGUUCGUACUUAGGAUGCUGGCAUAAUGGCUUUAAUCGACCCGUCUUGAAACACGGACCAAGGAGUCUAACAUGCCUGCGAGUGUUUGGGUGGAAAACCCGAGCGCGUAAUGAAAGUGAAAGUUAAGAUCCCUGUCGUGGGGAGCAUUGACGCCCGGACCAGACCUUUUGUGACGGAUCUGCGGUAGAGCAUGUAUGUUGGGACCCGAAAGAUGGUGAACUAUGCCUGAAUAGGGUGAAGCCAGAGGAAACUCUGGUGGAGGCUCGUAGCGAUUCUGACGUGCAAAUCGAUCGUCAAAUUUGGGUAUAGGGGCGAAAGACUAAUCGAACCAUCUAGUAGCUGGUUCCUGCCGA
rnacentral:rRNA from 1 species